rnacentral:SRP_RNA from 1 species
UAAUGGAAUAGGUCGGGCAGUUAGGCCCUGCUCAGCACCUGUAAUGUAGGCCUUUAACAGGGACCGAAUGUGAGGGCGUCCGGUCAGACCAACGCGGGCCCCACAAGCCAACUGAGAAACCUCGUCCUUCGGGGGCGGCGGUUCGCUGAUGCCUGCCGCAGGGCACGGACUGAAGUGAUUCGUCGCCAGCACCCCGUCAGGCGCGGAAGCGAGCAGCGGACUGGUGAACGUGCGUCGCUCGAAGGGUCGCGGGGUGGAGGAGGCAACUGGGACUCCCCGUGGCGGAACGCCGGGCAAUCUCGAUUUCCACUU